CUUCUCUCUCAUCUCUCUCACAACUCACAUCUCACCAGAUCUUUUCACCAACCUUUUCUCUCUCUUUCUCUCUGGCGACUCAAGCACAUGCCAACGAUUAGGGUUUUGGUAAGAACCGCCAGAAGACUCAUAAUCUUAAUCGGCUUGAAGCGCAGCGUAACGAGCUCAAUUCUCGAAUUGUAGUUCUCAAUGCUGGUGAUAACAACGAGCAUUUCCAGUAACUCAUCAUAAUUACCUUCCUGUUGCUGGAGGUGUUAGCAGCCACACAUGCUAUUGCAGUGUAUCAGCCCCUGAACUUACUGUUUCAGAGAGUUCCUCCACCUCUAUAAAGAAGAGAAUUGUGUCGGGUGUCCAACCAACAGGAUCUAUACACCCUGGGAAUUAUCUUGGAGCGAUAAAAAAUUGGAUAUCACUGCAGUGAAAUUUUGAUGGGAGUCAAUCCAUGGUGGCCGGAGAACUCACCCAGGGUACGUUCAUGGUGAAAUUUUGCUUAUGCUGGCUUAGAGGACAAAGCAGUCACAAGUGACUUAAUUGAUAAUCAGUCAGAUAGCGGGUUGGACCAAGUGGAACAUAUGUCUCAGCAGAAACCAAACUCUGUUGAAUCUGAUAGCCAGAAAGGGAUGACGUAGAUAGUGCUCCAAAUUCUGGUCAGUUUUCGCCUGGGAAGUCGUAGCGGGCUGCUGUUUUAAAAAACCGAUUUGCUGAUACGAAAUUUAAAGCUAGAGACAAGACACUCAAUGAGGGGGAUCCUGAGAAGCUGCGUCGAGAGAAAGAUGAGCUAGAAAACCAAAAACGGAAAGAAAAAGCUCGGUUGCAAGCAGCAGCAGAGGCUGCCGAAAACGCAACAAGGCGGGCAGAAGUAGAAGCUGCGUUAGAGGCAAAGCGAAAGAGAGACCUCGAGAGGGAAGCAGCUCGUCAGGUGUUAUUGAAGCUCAUUGAAGAAGAGAAAGUGGAAGUUCCAGUGUCGAAUAUCAAAUAUGGUAUGGAUAAGGCUCCGGCUGAGGUGGCCUCUACGAAUGAAAAUGAUGUAAAUAUGCAGGAUGCUUCUUUGACUGAGAAUGGUGCUGUAGAAACAGGAGAUAAUCCUGUUCAGAUGGAUCAUCUAACCGUCAAAUAAUUUGCUAUGAUUUUGAUGUGAUGCGGCGGUCACUGGUUGAAGCUCCAAAGUAGAAUGUUAAAAAACCAACGUACCAGUUUCCGAAUUGGUCUAUGGGUCAAUGCUACCUGCAGACGUGCAGAAAGCAGUGGAAAAGGAGUUUGAAAUGGCGUUGCAAGACCGGGUUAUGGAAGAAACAAAGGAUAAA